AUUGAACGCUGGCGGCAUGCUUUACACAUGCAAGUCGAACGGUAACAGGCCUUCGGGCGCUGACGAGUGGCGAACGGGUGAGUAAUGCAUCGGAACGUGCCCAGUCGUGGGGGAUAACUAUCCGAAAGGAUAGCUAAUACCGCAUACGAUCUGCGGAUGAAAGCGGGGGACCUUCGGGCCUCGCGCGAUUGGAGCGGCCGAUGUCAGAUUAGGUAGUUGGUGGGGGAAAGGCUCACCAAGCCAACGAUCUGUAGCUGGUCUGAGAGGACGACCAGCCACACUGAGACUUAGACACGGCCCAGACUCCUACGGGAGUCAGCAGUGGGAAAUUUUGGACAACGGGCGCAAGCCUGAUCCAGCAAUGCCGCGUGCAGGAAGAAAGCCUUCGGGUUGUAAACUGCUUUUGUACGGAACGAAACGGCUCUGGUUAAUACCCGGGGCUAAUGACGGUACCGUAAGAAUAAGCACCGGCUAACUACGUGCCAGCCGCCGCCGUAAAAC
rnacentral:rRNA from 1 species